CCCAGCAGGAGGGGGGAGGGGCGAGGCAGGGGCGGGUGGAGCCUCCUUCUCCCCUCCUCCAUAGUUUACGGGAGUGUGGGAUGGGGUGCCGGGAAUGCAGCCAAAGUAGACUAGGGUGGCACACCAUGCUUAUUAACAUGUAUUAACAUAAAUACUACCUUCCCUUAAUCGGUUUGGGUAUAGCUGCCCAGUAGUGCAGGCUGCGGGGCUCUGGAUGCCGGGGUGGGGGUGAACCUGCCUCAGGAAUCAACCCCCUUAAGUAGGCUGGAAGGGGCGUGGUUGAAUCCUGACUGCCACUCGCCAGCUGUGUGUCCCUAGGGAGAGACUGCACCUCUCAGAUCUCGCUCCUCACUCGCCCUGCGGUUGCAGCUGGCGGGCCAGGCAGGUCUGGCCACUGUGGCAGAACACAGGUGUGCGCUCUUGCUGCCACCUCAGCACUGGGCAUCCAGGCCUGAGAGCCUCGAAGCAGACCCUUCACUGCUGCCUCUUUCAGCCCUGCUUCACUAGGGCCCCUUGUCGGGCUUGGCUCCUCUCCUGUCCCCAGCCCCUGCCAACCUUCCGGCCACAGCCAAUGACUGCCUCCAGCCUCCACCUAAACCUCCAUCCCUCCCCAACCCCUGAGGACUCCUCAGUCUUCCUCCAGGUCUCCAUCCCAGCCCUAGCAGGGCCAAGCCCACAUCCCUUCUCCUAGAGCCCCUGUCUCAGGGAGACCUUUCUGCCUGGUUGACCUGAGAAGGUCCCGCCUCCUCCCCCAGCAGCAUGCAGCCUGACCCCUUCAGCCUACCGCCCAGGCUGUGCCCCUGUGGUCUGCCACUCCUCUACCCCUCUGCAGUCCCCUGCCCCCCACCUCAGAGAGCUCCCUGGAGCUUGGGGGCUCCUAGGCUUAGCCUUAGGCAACCCUGCCAGUGCUCUGGCCACCCAACUUCUGGGAGGCAGCAGUACUUUCUUUGCCAGGACUCUGCUUGGCCGGUGCCCUCUGGGCUUUUAGGCCAUCCUCUUUGCCACCUGCUGGACUCUUCUUCACCACUCAGUAUCCAACUCUCUGGUGUCAUUUCCUUUGUGAAGCCCCAGAUGCCUGUAACACCCAGGUUCAAGCCUCUCUGUGGGGCUCUGGGUUCCCCAGGGGCUAUCAUCAGUGGGGGCCCCAGGACCCAGCAGAGGACAGACCCAGGGAGAUAGGAGAUAGAAUGUUUGCAGAAAGCCCUUCCACCUUCCUGGGCCUGCUGAGCCUGUGGAGGAAGGGGAUGGGAGACUGAUGGACAAGGGACACCUUGGGUCCCUCCUUGACCCUGCACCAGCUCCACCAAGAGGCCUUGAUGCCCUCUACCCACAAUGAAGUCAGAAAGCAGAAUAAGAAGGGAUAUCAAACUGAUUUUUCUCCUAAAUAAGAUCACCUGUGUGGCUUAUCUCAUGCAAGGGAAAAACCAAGACAAGAAGGAGAAAGGGAUCCAUGGUGUUGAGCCCUGCCCGCUUGGACACUGGUGCCCACCGCUGUUAUUAACCAAGGAGCUGAGUGGCCUGAAGAAUCCCUUAGAGGUGCAGCUCCGGAAGAAAUCCGCCCUGCUGCACAGGGAAAGCUUGAAGACUGCCGCAAACCCAAGGCCAUGGUGGGCCUGGGAGGAGAGGGGAGCGAGUACUGGUGCCAGUAGGUGAAAUGACUACAGAGUGGGAACACUGAGGUGCUGUGUACUGGGCCUGAGGAUGACCUGGAGGGCAGAGCACCUGGGGCCCUGUCACAAAUGAGGUUUCAGGUUCAGGUCACUAUCACCUCGGCACAGCUUAGUCUGGGUCUCCGGCCCUGGGAUAGAAGAGUACUGAGCAGUACUUGGUAUUUUUUCUUUCUACAUUUUAUUAUUUCAAACCAGGUGAACAAUUCCAUAAAACAUGUGAAAAAAGCAAGGAAGUGUUCAACGCUGAAGGACCCGGGCCUGGGGCAAGGGCACGAGGGGCAUGGCCCUCAGCAGGCAGCGGCGGUUCCUAGGUUAGCGCUAAGGAGCUACAUUUAGGUUAAUGGAGCCAGGGCCCAGGGCCACUGGGACGGGGCCCUCAGUGAUGUUGGCAGUUGUCUGGAACAGCCCUUGGAACCCAGUUCUGUGGAGGGCAGGGCAGAUGUGCCGCCCGCACGGGGCAGGGGAGGGGCAGCCAGCAGAGGGAUGGGUGUAAACACGCAGACACACUCAAGGCACGGAAUCACUGGAAGGGGGCUGGGUGGGCGCUGGUUAGGAUCUGACAGUUUUAAAUAGUUUUUCUCUAAAAAGUUUUCUAGGUUUGCAGUUUUGUCUUUUUUUUUUUUUUUUCCUUUACUUUCAUUUUUUUUU